GGUGACCCCGGCCCUGCCGGGGUUUAAACGGGAAGCCGGUGACGCGUCCGGUACGGGCGCCAUGCCGGCGCUGCCCCCGCAACGGUAGGUGGGACAAGUCCGGACAACAGGCCACUGUGCGAUGCACGGGAAGGCGUCCGGACGGGAAGGUGCAUCCUUCCGCCCGCAAGCCCGGAGACCGGCCAGGAA
rnacentral:ncRNA from 1 species